UAUUCUCUGUGUCUUUUUGUUUAUUUGUUUUUCCAGCUCUAUGGAGAUAUAAUUGACAUAUAACAUUGGAUAAAUUUAUGGUGUACAACAUGUUGAUUUCAUACACUUAUAUAUUGCAAAAUGAUUACCAUAUUAGAGAGCUCUUUCCAUAUUCCAGGUAAUGUGCAAUGUACUGUUUAAUUCUCAUAGCAGUCUUAUAGAGUGAAGAUGUUUUACAGAUGAAGGAACAGAGGCAUAGAGAAAUUAAGGUACUUGUCUCAGUAACAGUCUAUCUUCAAAGUCUACAUUCUUUUUGGGGGGGGGUUGGGUGAGGUAAUUAGAUUUAUUUAUUUAUUUAUUUUUAGAGGAGGUACUGGGGAUUGCACCCAGGACCUUGUGUGUGCUAAGCAUGCACUCUACCACUUGAGCUAUAUCCUUCCCACAAAGUCUACAUUCUUAACUACUGUUUUUUUUCAUAGUGAUGAAUUAGCCCAUCAAGUUGCAGGAGCAGUGAAUUAAUUGCUAACUGUAGGGUAAAUUUAAAGUUACUUAUACCAGUGACUCCAAUUAGCAGAAAUAUUUGAGAUACAUAAUUUGAAGCUUAUUGACUGGGGCAUUUAUCUUAGCUUAAUAGUUAGACUGUUUCCAUGCAAGAAUAUGACAGAGAGAAGUUUCCCAACUUCUGAAGAUUUAUAAAAUUUUAUAAAAUUUAGAUAAACUGUAACCUUGCAAAAAUGACUGCCACCUUCCUUUUUAUUGAGAAUACUUUCUUCUCCAGAGGAUUACACCAACAUACAUCUUGGCACAAAGGAAGUGACAUGGGGUGGAGGAGAGAGCAGUGAGGUAAAGUUUGAGGAGAAAAAUCACCUGGUUGAGAUCUUGAGUUGACAAGUUGAGUAUAAGUUGAAAAAGAUGAUAGGAGACCUUAAGUAUAAAAAAACUUCUAAAAAUUACUAUUAAGAAAAGACAUGUUUUUAAAAAUCUAAACUUAUACUUGAUAAGAAAAAAUGAUUUUCAUAGUUGAAGGGAUUUAUAACUUCAUAAAGUGUUUCUAUGUGACCUUGUUAAGCCUGGCUACAUUGAAAAAUAAACUCCAGUUCUCUUGCAGUGAAUUGGAGGAGUGAAGUAUAUCUGUAUGUUAUUUUUUGUUUUGGAGGAGAUAUACUACUUAUCUGCAUCUGUUGAGAUGCAUCAUUAAGAAUACAUUAACUUAUUUGGGGUACCAUUUUAACUAUUCCAGACUUAUUUGUAAUUGAAUGUAUCUUACAUUGUGAUUGUAUAUUUUCUAAUAAACAAGAUUAUUAUAUAUUUGUUCCUAAAGCCUUAAAAGUUUACUUAUUCAUAUUUAUCCUUUAAAUAUAUAUUCAAGGGGCCCAAGUAUGCACCAAUAACCAUGCCACUGCGGGGAGCGGAACAGUAAACACAAUACACAAAGCCCCUGCCCUCAUUAGACUUACAUUUUGGCAGGAAAGUGAGACAUUAGUCAAAUGAUAACACAGACGAUAAUGCUCAAGGGAAGGGCGAUGAAAGAGAAGUGUAGGGAGUAAUGAAGGCGAUGUAGCUGAAUGGGAAAGUCAGGGAAUAUUUUUCUAAGAAAGUAAUGAUUUAACUAAGGCCUGGUGGAAGAGAAUGGUUCAGAUUGGUGGAGUGGGACAAGUGCAUUUCAGGUAGAAGGCAUGAUGUGUGCAAAGCCCUGGAGGUGGGAAGAUGAUGGGGCUUUCCCAGAACUAAAAAUAGGUCCAGGGUGGCUGGAGUAUAGUGAUUGAGAAAAAGUUCUGUUAGUUGAGGCUAUGGAGAGACAGUUCAAGACCUUUAGGCUUCAAGCAUUAGGACUCCUCUGGUGGCAAGUAAGAGUUAGGUAUUCUAACUCUAUGCAUGGUUGGAGCUAGGAAUCCAGAUAAUGUCAUCAGGACUGGUUUUUUCUUUUAGUUCAACAUACCUCUGUUUGACUUUAUUUUUAGGCACUCUUCAUUUUGUGACAAGAUGGCCGCUGACAGCCUCAAGCUCGCAAUACCUUUAUAGCUCACAGUUCUGGGGAAGAAUGGCUCAAGCAGAAGUAUCAGAAAAGGCUCCAAAAGGCUCCAAGUAGCCAAGUUUAGCGUACAUACCCAUCCCGGAGUCUACCAGGUGGGCAGGGGAUGGAUCCAGGCGUGGAUCACAUAUCUAUUCUGGGAAUAUAGUUGUGUGAGGGAAGAACUCUGUCAGAAUCAUCUCAGUUACAUAGAGUAAAUAGUUUUAUAACUGGGUGGAGAAAAGCAGGUUCCACCAAAGGCAGGUUUCCUGAGUUGACAUAGAUACUUAUCCGCUGUACCCUACACCUCUCAACUGUUUUCACAUGAUCAUAAUCAUAGAAAAUAUUGUGGAAAAUGGAUAAAGCUACUUAUACCCAGCUUUUUCAGUCAACCCACAGUCCCUACCAGUGAUCUUGGAGCAUUAAAUGGAUCAAUUUUCCAUUUACAAAUGUAACCCAUUUGUGAUAUACCAAUGUUAGGAAGAAUGUUACUAUAAGCACUUAAGUAUUUUGGACUUUAUUUAAGAGAAAUAGGAAAGCAUUUAAGGUAAUUUGGACUCUAAAAAGAAACCUGGGCUCCUUGUAGAAGUGGCUGAUUCCAGGUGUGGGGCAAAACGAGCCUACAUCUAGUGCCAGAAAGCAAGGGAGUUUAUUAAAGACUUCAAAAGUCUUGCCAAAGGGACACAGGAGUCAAAUAAAGGGACUUCUAGUAGCCAAAGAUGGGGCAAUUAAAGCACUGAAAAGAAUAUCUGCAGUUGAUUUAAACACAUCAACUGUGUGGAAAAUCUAUGAGUUCAAAAUGAUACUAAAAAUAAGAUCACUGGCCACCUUUGGAGGUUGCUAGGGUUUUAGCUCUUUAUUCUAAAAAACAGAAAAUAAGGAGGAAGGGUAUAUAGCUCAGUAGCUAUGGUAGUGUGCGUGCUUAGCAUGCAUGAGGUCCUGGGUUCAAUCCCCAUUACCCUCAUUAAACAAACAAACCUAAUUACCUCCCCCUACCCCACAAGAAAAACCCAUUAAAAACCAGAAAAUAAAGACUCAAGCAUCUCUUCUGCCUAUCUAAAUUUCAGGGUAGUCAAAUAUUGAUGAGGUAAAGUUAUUUUCUAUAGCAUAAUCCAAACUACUAAAUACAAAAGGAUUAAUAGAAUUAGAAAAAUUCCCAUUUAGCAACCGUUAGGGAAAUAAAAGAUAGGGACAAGAAUCGUCAGUGAAUGGCAAAAACACUAAGUGGAAGAUUAAUGAGGAACUUUCUAAAGAAUGGAUGAGGUUAACAACACUUGAACCCACUGUUCAUUCUUAACAUCAUUAAAAAUGGGUAAGUGGUAUGUGCCUCCUGAUUUGAUGCAGCAGGAAGUACUCAGUAUGGCCUAUCAAAGUGUUCCUGCCAGAAAAAAAAAAAAAAAAAAGAACCAGAAUCUAAUCAAGCCUAUAGAUGUGAACUAUCAGUUUACAGGAAAUACAAAAGAUAAAUGCCACCACUAGUAAGUAAUCAUCUAAGCCCAGAAGGUGAUACAUUCUAUAGACAAAUGGUUCAGUUUCUUAAAGUUAAACAAAAAAUUGGCAUAGAAAAAAUAAAAGUUGAGAGAUCAGAAGUCAUAGGUGAAAAGAAACUUCAGAGAUACGUAAAUCAAAUGCAUUAUAGAGAUCUUAUUUUUGAUCUUGUUUUAAGUCAAAUGUAAGAAUACUUUUGAGGCAAUUGGAGAAAUUUGAAACUAGACAACAUUAGAUGAUAUUAAGGAAUUGUUAAUUCUGAGAUGUGUUAUAGUUAUACUUUUUUAGGUCUUUAUCUGUUAAAGAUAUUAAAGAAUUUAUGAUAGAAAUUAUAUGAUAUCUGGGAUUUGCCUCAAAAUACUCCAGUGGGGGAAGGAUGUCAGUAGGAUAGAUGAAACAAGAUUGGCAAAAUAUUUGCUGAAGUUGAGUGGGAGCUAUGUGGAGGCUCCUUACAUUGUUAUAUCUGUACUUUUUUGUGUUUUUAAAUUUCCACAAUUAAUUUAAAGUAAGUUAAUAAUAUAAUCAGCUUUGUCUUUUAGAAUAAGCUGGCCGCAGUGUGAAGUAUAAAUUGGAAUGGAUGUGGAGGACAUUUAUCAUGUUUGUAGCCACUCUUCCCAAAGACCCUUCCACAUUUGAGACCUUCUCAUGUUGACCUUCUCCUCUUAGAUAGAAGCCAAAAUGCAUUCACUCUCUCUCUCUCAUCUACCCUUGUUGCCAGGGCAUGAAUUUGUGUUUCUGGCUAUGCCAGUACCUGCCUCCAGUGUGAGACUUGCUAAGGAGUGGAGCAAAAGUGAGCAACAUGAGCAAAAUUGAUUUUGGCGAGGGAGCAAGGUCAGUGGCUUAAAUUUUGGAGAAAGCAGUGGCACAGCUCCUGGAACCUAGUCCCAUAGCUUCAUCAGCAUGGAUGUGGGAUCUGUGCUGAGCCAGGGUUGGUAGGGUGUCUUUUCUGGGGCAGCUUCUGCAUUGUGAUCCAGCCAUUGUUCCUAGCUGCAAAGUCUGAAUCUCUAUCCCUCCUAGAGUCUAUGAGCUAAUAUCCUUUAAUAAAUACAUUCUCAGCAUAAACUACCUAGGUUAGAUUCUGAUGUUUGCAACUACAAACCAUGACUGAUAAAGGAGGAAAGAGUAGAUGCUUGGAGACAAGCAGGUUAUUGCACUAGUUCAGAUGAGGUAUGCUAGUGACUUGGAUUGGGGCAGUGAAAUUGGGAAUUAAAAGCAUAUAAAACACAUUUUAGAGGUAGCCUGGAAGGAUAAGUUGGUGAUUAGAUGAGGUAAAUGAAUAUGUUAAGAAUGAUUUCCAGGAUUCUGACAGCAGCAAGUAAUGCAGAUGCCAUUUACUGGAUUAAAUACUGAGCAGAAAAAGGAAGAGUGCAGUUGAACUAAAUAACGUUCUUAUAGACAACAAAGGAAUGCCAGAUAUGCCCACAAGACAGAUAAAACUGGAAUGUCAUUAUAAAAUGAACUGAAAGAAAUCAUUUUAAGUCAUGGAAAAUUGAAAAAAAUGACAAAUUAUAAUUUGAAAAACUGAAAAGUGCAAAAAAUUUUCUGAAAUGGAGAAAUAAUAGGAAGAUAUGAAAAUACUGCUGGCAGAGUUCAGGAAAGAAUAAGAAACUUAUAAGGUGCCACAGACUACUUCAUAAGGGAGAUUGAAGAUGGAGGAAAAUUAAAAUAACAGAAACAGAUAAAAAUGAUUUGGAAAAAGUGAUGGAUACAAAAAUUAGGCACAGAUGAUUUAACAUACAUAUUGUAGAAGCCCUUAAAGAAGACAACCAAAGCAAUAAAACAGAACAAAUUCUAAAAAGUAUAAUUCAAGAAACAUCUUCUGAAAGAAAACUCACACAUGUAUAUGAAGAGGAAACUCAAUUUGAAAGAAGGGAGGAAAGGAAAAAACCAAAUGUGAUUCCCAAACCAUUGUUGCACCAUUUCAGUCUGAGCUGUCUGGUCUGGAAAUGGAAAAGGAGUUUUUUCUGGACAAAGAUGACUGGAGCUAAACAAAGAAAAAAAAAUCUCAUGAACUAAAAAAAAAAUUUAUCAGGUCUUUCAAAAGAUCCAGAACUAUUGGAUGUCUUUUCUUUAAAGAAGUGAAAAAUAUUAGCAUUGCUGUUUGUGGACUGACCAGAUCUAUCAGACGAAUGGGCUCUACGAAGGUAUCGAGAAUGCGGCCUCUCUUCUGCCUCUUGGAUUACUCUUCCCCUUCCACUAUUACUGGUUUCUUGUUCUUGAUUUCCCCACUGAUUAUAAAAGCUGCUUCCAUCUCCUGAAGGAGAAAAA